CUGAGUAUUGCUUUCUUUGUUUUGUUGCUGUAUUGGUUAUACGCUAUUAAUAAGUCCAUUCAAAAAACAGUUUACAGCUAGAUUUAAUUUGAAAACACUCCCUAGGAUGAUGCUUCUAUGAGAGCCAGUAGGACCCAAAACUAUCAGGUGCUUCGAGGACCCAGCCUCCCACCACUGCUGUUGUGGCUUCCUCUUCUUCAAGAACUCGGACUGGAGUGCCGGCGCAGUUUCGGCGACUCUUUGCCAGAAGACGAGCUCUUGGCAUUAAUGCAAGCAUUGUUCUCCGAAUGGACCCUCUUCACCUGGCUGGUGGGCUUCUCGAAUGGGUCGAAG